rnacentral:tRNA from 1 species
GGAGGGGUGUCCGAGUGGUUUAAGGUGCGGCUCUUGAAAAGCCGUGUGGGGCAACCCACCGUGGGUUCGAAUCCCACCCCCUCCGCCA